UACGUAGGUGGCGAGCGUUGUCCGGAUUUACUGGGCGUAAAGAGCGCGCAGGCGGUCGUUCAAGUCGCGUGUGAAAGCCCCCGGCUCAACUGGGGAGGGUCACGCGAUACUGAUCGACUCGAAGGCAGGAGAGGGUAGUGGAAUUCCCGGUGUAGUGGUGAAAUGCGUAGAUAUCGGGAGGAACACCAGUGGCGAAGGCGACUACCUGGCCUGUUCUUGACGCUGAGGCGCGAAAGCUAGGGGAGCAAACGGG
rnacentral:rRNA from 1 species